AUUGAACGCUGGCGGCAUGCCUUACACAUGCAAGACGAACGGUAACGCGGGGCAACCUGGCGACGAGUGGCGAACGGGUGAGUAAAGCAUCGGAACGUGCCCAGUAGUGGGGGAUAGCCCGGCGAAAGCCGGAUUAAUACCGCAUACGACCUAUGGGUGAAAGGGGGGGAUCGCAAGACCUCUCGCUAUUGGAGCGGCCGAUGUCAGAUUAGGUAGUUGGUGGGGUAAAGGCCUACCAAGCCGACGAUCUGUAGCUGGUCUGAGAGGACGACCAGCCACACUGGGACUGAGAAACGGCCCAGACUCCUACGGGAGGCAGCAGUGGGGAAUUUUGGACAAUGGGCGCAAGCCUGAUCCAGCCAUGCCGCGUGCGGGAAGAAGGCCUUCGGGUUGUAAACCGCUUUUGUCAGGGAAGAAAUCCUUUGGGUUAAUACCUCGGGGGGAUGACGGUACCUGAAGAAUAAGCACCGGCUAACUACGUGCCAGCCGCCGCGGUAA
rnacentral:rRNA from 1 species